UAUCCUGGCUCCAGAUUGAACGCUGRCGGCAUGCCUUACACAUGCAAGUCGAACGGUAACAGGUCUUCGGAUGCUGACGAGUGGCGAACGGGUGAGUAAUACAUCGGAACGUGCCCGAUCGUGGGGGAUAACGAGGCGAAAGCUUUGCUAAUACCGCAUACGAUCUACGGAUGAAAGCGGGGGAUCUUCGGACCUCGCGCGRACGGAGCGGCCGAUGGCAGAUUAGGUAGUUGGUGGGAUAAAAGCUUACCAAGCCRACGAUCUGUAGCUGGUCUGAGAGGAUGAUCAGCCACACUGGGACUGAGACACGGCCCAGACUCCUACGGGAGGCAGCAGUGGGGAAUUUUGGACAAUGGGCGAAAGCCUGAUCCAGCCAUGCCGCGUGCAGGAUGAAGGCCUUCGGGUUGUAAACUGCUUUUGUACGGAACGAAAAGCCUCUUUCUAAUAAAGAGGGGUCAUG
rnacentral:rRNA from 1 species